UGUUUCUACCGUUCUCAUUCCCAUUCCCGGUUCUUUCUCCACCCCGAUGCCCCUCCCCCUCCCCCGUGUGAUCCCCUCUCCAGAUCGAUGUCUGCCCCGGCCGUAACCCCCGCGGCUCACCGCACGAAACCGCCGCGAGAUCUUGGAGCUCAGCCUCUGACGAUGGCUACGACUACCUCGCCAACCUCCGCGAGCUCUGUCCCCCUCCCUCUCCUCCACCGGCGGCGGGGGAUCCUUGGCCAUGUUCCUCCCGAGGCGCCGGUCCACGCGCUUCGGCCUCCGCGUGGUCAUCAAGCCUUUCUGAUGGCUCGGAACAGAGGUCAGCUAUGCGAUGUGGCGUGGCGAGGUUACCGCGGGCGCCGCGGAGGUGGAGGGGGAAGGGGAGGACGAGGGCACGGGCAAGAGAGCGCAUCGCUGUGGACGGUCUCGUGAGUGAGUGCUGCUGCCUGCCCCUCUCUCUCUGCCUGCGUUCUCCUGGUGCUGCUCUCCCUCUCCUCCCCUGCUUCGACCUCCCGCCUUUCCCCACCGUUUCUUGGAUUUCUAGGAUCCAGACAACCGCCCUUGUGAGCCUGCCUUCCUGCCUACUACCUGCGUACGUACAGGAGGGACCUUGGGUGAUCCGGGUGCUUGGUUUCUUGGUUCUACGGCUUUCGCUGCUGUUGGAUUUGCCGAGCCGGAGCCGACGGAGAUGACCGUCGACGAGCUGAAGCUGCAGGCAAGGGCCAGCGGCGGCCACGACCUAAGGACCAGUUCCCCGUCGGCAUGCGCGUGCUCGCCGUCGACGACGACCCGACCUGCCUCAAGGUCCUCGAGAACCUCUUGUUCCGCUGCCAGUACCAUGUGACAACAAUGGGCCAGGCAGCCACUGCCCUGAGCUGCUGAGGGAGAAGAAGGACCAGUUUGACCCUGUGAUCAGCAACGUCCACAUGCCGGACAUGGACGGCUUCAAGCUCCUCGAGCUUGUGGGCCUCGAGAUGGACCUUCCGGGGAUUAACAGCUGAAAACCUCGCCCGAUUUGUAAAGAAGUUUUCUUGUUCAAUGCGGCAUUGAAUUUGGGAGGAAUGACAAGUCUCAUGAAAACUUCUGUAUGCCCUACACGUGACCACUAAAAGAAAGAGUUAGACAGGACAAAAGGCUGCAGCGGCAGAAGAAGAGCUUUUACAUACCCUUACAAUGCUGAUUUUGAUGGAGAUGAAAUGAAUUUGCAUGUCCCUCGGACGGAGGAAGCUCGCACUGAAGCGCUUAAUUCUCAUAGGGGUUCAAAAUAAUUUAUGUACUCCUAAGAAUGUGAUGGGGGAUACUUCAAUGCAAUAAUGAGCUUCCCACAAAAUUACCCAAACAGCCCACCAUCAGUCAGAUUUACCUCUGAAAUGUGGCAUCCAAAUGGUCAACUUUUUAUUAGUGAAAAUAGUAUUUAUUUACUCCAUCUACAGUUAUGUUUUCUGACAUCAUGCAUAAUAUUUGAGGAAACGCCAGUCUAACCUGAUGGGCGGGUUUGUAUCUCUAUUCUUCAUCCACCCAGUGAAGAUCCAAACGGUUAUGAGCUCGCAAGUGAGCGAUGGACACCUGUGCACACAGUAUGGCUUCGUAUACUUUGUUUACAUAUCUUUUCCCCAUUGUAAUGUUACUCAUCUCCCUUUUAUGUGUAUACUUUUUAGAGAGAAAAUUACCUUGUAGUCUCAUUGUUUCAGUUUAUGGUCCAAUUUACAAUGGCUUCACUGUAAAUGGGAAAACAACUCGGUAGGAAUGCUUUUUUGAAUUAUAAAUUAUUUCUAUUUCAUACGAUGCUUAUAGGUAUGUGAUGAGUCCUCCAAUCUGAGAAGUAGAGCAUGGUAAAGCACUCCAAGCUGCUCUUUCAUCGGGAAAUUUAUAGGUGACACUUGUGUCAUACAUUGAACUAUGGAGUCAAACAAAUUACAUAUUAUCCUUCAACAUUUUUCACCAGUGGGAACUGUAGUUAUUGCGUAGAAUAGAUGGUAUAUUAAUCGUUGAGAGCCAAUGUUUACAUUAACUGUUAUGCAGAAGACAAUUUAUGUUUUAUUUUAUAUCUAACUGUACUUUGUUGCAGCUUGUAGGUACUGAUCACAGCACAUUCAACUCCACACAGAUUGUCCAUGUUUCUUUCAGUCACCAUGAUUUAUCACUAGGUCAUUGUGUUUGUGGCCAACGAGUAUUGUUCUAACAGUUAUGUUCCCAUAGCUAGCUAGAUUCAUUGUUGUGUUUUGUUCAGGGUACUUUCACCACUUCUGGUAUGGUUCUGUCUGUAAUGUGCCAGGGAUUAUUAUAUUGUUUUUGGUUUGGAUUUGGAAUGGUUUGGGGUCCACAACGAUGAUGCGUCAGAGCUGUUCCAAGGAUUGGAUGAUUUCCAUUCCCCUGCUGCCAAUUCGACUAGGCUCGCCGUCUCCGCUCUGCCCAACUGGCACCAAGCAGCCAAUGGAACUUGAGCAGCCAAUGGAUGAUUUCCAUUCCCCUGCUGCCAAUUCUCCGAACUGCUUUGACCCUUCAACUCAAUCCGCAUGUACCCAGUAAAUGUUCAAUCUGAAUUUGGAUCAUUGCUAGCAGGAUUCUUUGCUUGCUCUUCUACUUCUGAAAAUUCGCAAAAUGGAUAGAUAAUUCCAGUUAAUUUUAAUCCAUUACAGCCUAUUGUGGCAGCAAACAGCGACUGGGUGCGGAAGCCGGAAGGGAGAGGCGCUUGGUUGACCCAGAACGGACGACAAGACACCGCCGGGGGUUCGCUGCAACCGCACGCGUGGUGGCCGGUGUGGGAAGGAGCCCACUGCUCAAGCAGCGACGACUUCCGUAACUUCUCAGGCCAAGUUGUAGGGAGGGAGGGCAGCAAAGAAAGCAAGCAAGAAAGAAGCCGAUUCCACUGGUGGUUAAGGUUUUGGAUUAAAGGAGAGAGGUGCAGAGAAAAAAAGGCAAUCUUACUCUUAAUCUCUGUGUCCACAUCACUUCCGAUCAUGCCGUGAUCGACAGAAGUACGGGUGCCAUGUAUAAGUGCCCCCUCCAACUCACCAAAGUAAUAAGGAGCAGCUGCUGCAGGUUGCAACUCCCUGGGCCAAGCAGUAGCCCAGCAAGUUCAGCACCAAUGGCAGCCAUAUGAAAUAUAAGGCAAAGCAGAUAAAAAGCUUAAUUUUUUUCAAUAAGGUAAAGGCAAUGACAGAAAAGUGAGGAGGGUCAGAGGUGUACAGAUAAGGAUGAGGGCUGAAAAGAGGAGCAGGAAGGGCAUGAUGAAAUCAGUGUUUGCUAUUUAGCCUCCUUCACAACUAAGAUCAUCCUACAUAAUAGAUUUAGACAACAAAAACUUAUGGAGUUUGCUGAAAUGCCCUUUCAGGCAUGCUCCAUCUGUGCUACAAGGGUCAGAAUGGACUUGAUAGGACAUUUGACUAUACAACAUGGAAGUUAUUUCAAGAUAUCCUUUUUUAACUAUGCUGUCGUUGCUGAUCAUUUGCAUUUUUACAUUUUUCACAUUAUACUAUAGUUGAAGAUACAUUCCUGAGGACGAAUGGGUGCAGUUAUGGGCUUCCUGCUUGCUGCCAGCAGUCUUUUGGUGCUUUUAUAUUGCUAUUAAUUUGUUUGAAAUUUAUUAUGGUGAUGACUGGGAAGGUCUUUUUGAGGCUAUUACUGGUUAUGGCCUUGGUGGCUCUUUGGCCGUGUUGGUGGUGGUAUUUAUACCAAGGCUGCUGAUGUUGGUGCCGACCUUGUGGGGAAGGUAGAAAGAAACAUUCCUGAGGACGAUCCAAGAAACCCAGCUGUCAUUGCUGACAAUGUUGGUGAUAAUGUUGGAGAUAUUGUUGGAAUGGGAUCAUAUCUCUUUGGCUCAUAUGCUGAAUCGUCAUGUGCUGCUCUUGUUGUGGCCUCGAUCUCGUCUUUUGGAAUCAACCAUCAAUUUACUCCAAUGGUGUAUCCCCUUCUUGUCAGCUCUGUUGGUAUUAUAGCAUGUCUCAUAACAACGCUGUUUGCAACUGAUUUCUUCGAGAUAAAGGCUGUGAGUGAAAUAGAGCCUGCUCUCAAGAAACAACUUAUAAUAUCCACUGUUGUGAUGACCAUUGGCAUUGCGCUCAUGUUGGCUUGGUCUUCCAUACACCUUCACCAUUUAUAACUUUGGAGCCCAGAAGACAGUGCAAAGCUGGCAAUUGUUCUUGUGUGUGGCGGUUGGUCUCUGGGCUGGCUUAGUCAUUGGUUUUAUUACUGAGUACUACACAAGCAAUGCCUACAGCCCUGUAUAAGAUGUUGCUGAUUCCUGCAGAACUGGAGCUGCCACUAAUGUCAUUUUUGGGCUUGCUCUGGGUUACAAAUCAGUCAUUAUCCCAAUUUUUGCUAUUGCGUUUAGUAUCUUCCUUAGCUUCAGCCUUGCUGCCAUGUAUGGUGUUGUUGUGGCUGCUCUUGGAAUGCUGAGUACCAUUGCCACAGACCUUGCUAUUGAUGCCUAUGGCCCUAUCAGUGAUAAUGCUGGAAGCUUAAGUCUGUAUGGGUGCAUCUUAUCAUUUAUAUGUAUAUCUGAAAGCUUAAGUAUUUUUUUAAAUAGAAGAUGUCUGGAAACUUUAGUAACGACAUGAGUUUCAGGCUUUCAGCUAUAGCAGUCUUAUUCGCUUUUAAGACAGAGAAGAUUUUUAUUUAGAGUUUAGAAAGAGUAGGUGCUAUGGGUGCAUGUUAUCAUUUAUGUGGGGAACAUCUCUGGUGGAAAUUAAUCAGUAACGACAUGAGUUAAGACAGAGAAGCUUAAGUAUUUUUUCAGCUAUAGCAGUCUUAUUCGCUUUUAAGACAGAGAAGCUUAAGUAUUUUUUGAAUAGAAGAUGUCUGGAAACUUUAGUAACGACAUGAGUUAAUCAGAAGAGAUGGAAGGGUAGUUUAUCAACAUGUAUUUGGCACUUCGCCGAAAAUGUCACUUGGACUAUCUUGCAAACUGAAUUUUCAGAUUGGCUUCUUCUGUCUGAACAUUCAGUUCAGUCUUGCAGGAUUUAUUUGGUGUGCACACUCCAGAGGUCAGCAUUGAUUCGAUCCAAAUCAACUUACAACUUGUUCUACAUUGUUUUUCAUCAACAACUGUGUUCAGCAAAGAGUAAAUACGUACUACAACUUAUUGAUCAUUGAAAACCUCGUGCCUUUUUUGGGUUAACCAAGUUUACCUAGAUUUCCCACACUGGGUUGAGUGGGUUGGGCACUGAUUGACUCAAAAUUGACCAGCUUUAUGGCCACCGUUCAGCAACCUCGCAAUGGAAGACAAAAAAUCCUUCCGACACCGCGGCCGCAAUAGUUGAAUACGUUUCAUCAUCAUCAACCAUUUUUUAUACAUCAUCAUCAUCAUCAACCAUUUUUUUGAUAGGUCAUCAUCAUCAACCAUUUUUAAUCGCACUCUCUCGGGCGGCCUUACCAAACUCCCUGCAUCUUCUUGCCUAGAAGUGCAGUACUUGAAUGACCAAUCGUGCAGCUGCUGCGAUACUACUCUCCUUGCCCACACUGCGUCGCAAUGGUGCACCGAUCUCCUGCUCCAGAAGCUACCACCGCUCUGUGCUUGGCACUGCUACUUCUUCUCUUUCCCUGAACCAGCUCCACCGCCACCACCAUAGGCGGCGCUCCAAACACGGUGGCGCCAUGCGCGCCGGCGUGGUGCGGGGACUUGGCCAUCUCCUACCCGUUCUGGCUCGCAGGCACGCAUCUGCCCAAGUGUGGCUACGACCAAGGGUUCAAGGUUACCUGUGACAAAGCCAAGGUGUACCUCAAGAACUCGACCUGCACGUACCAAAUCCAGGCCAUCUUCUACGCCAUGAAGCUACUCAGAGUCGCCAUCGUCGGCCUGUCGUAGGACGAUGGCACUUGCAACAUCGACAAGUUCGUCAAUGCCUCCUUCGUCCCCAGCCCGCCGUUCGAAAUCGAGCCCCAACAAAACCAGGAGCUGUUCUUCGUCUACGACUGCAACCUGCGAGCGCCGCAGCUGCCUCGGUCUUGGACACCCUUGCGCUGUGGCAAUAAUGGCUCGUUCACCUGGCUUUCUGGGGAGUACAGGCCCGAAGACAGCUCCAUGGCGAUGCCGGGGAACUGCAACGUUGCGAUGAUACCGGUGGUGGCGUACGAGGGGGCGACCGCGGCAGAUUAUCAGUGGUUCGUGGAGGGAGGUUUUUUUCUUAGUUACUACCUCACGGACACUGAGGACGACGACUACUACGACCAGUGCCAAGCUUGCUCGUACCGCGCUGGCCACGGCCAAUGCCGGACAAUUGUCAGUGACAAUGGGUUCCAGUGCUACUGCUCUGACGGCGUCUACUCGACGACGGCCUGCGGAACCAAGAGGGCUAACUGGAAGACAACAAUUGUAGUUGAAUCGAAGCGGGAACUGAAUCAAGAAUGUUCUAUUUAUAUCGGUCUCAGUUGCAUGGAAGCGAUAACUGAAUCAAGAAUUCUCUAUUUAUAUCGAUCUCAGCCAUUUUGAAGGAUGAACGAGCACCAGGAGAGAGUCCGGGAGGAGGCAUAUACUGUUGGGACGUGUCCAAGCCAGUGGAGAUGCAGUGGAGAUGGAGGAGAUCGACAUUGGCAUGGAGAAGCUGCGAAACCCACCGCAGCAGAACCCCACCUAGAGGAAGAAGUAGAAAACUUGUGCCGGUAUGAGCUUCCUAAUGAGAGCUGGGAAGUAAAUUUGCCUCCUGAAAAGGUGUCUCCUGAGCUCCCAGUACCAACAUUAGGCAUAAACUUUGCAAGAGAUGGAAUCCAGAAAAAAGAGUGGUUGUCCAUGGUUGCUGCACACAGUGAUGCAUGGUUACUUUCUGUUGCAUUUUAUCUUGGUGCUCAAUUUGGUUUCAAUAAAAAUUACAGGUUAAUUUUCAUUCCAUCUUUAUGGAAUAUGUACUACAGUCUCUAUCUUUUACUGCCUGCCUUUUUUGUUUAUCCAUGAAGUUUUCCUACUUUAUGCAAAGCUUUCCUACAUGCUUGCUUUGUCCUAAAAAAUAUUAGACCUAUUUUGAUAGGCAACAGGUACAAGUAAUAUAGUAUAAAUUAUAAGUACUGCUUAAGAACUGUGAAUAAAAAUGAACCUGCACAAUAUCUCCACAUGGAAUUAUUUGUCUUAGUGAAGGAAUAACAUAGUCAAAUCACAUAGAGUUUGCACUGCUCAUACUACUCACCACAUCUAAUGUGCUAAUUACUUUUCAGUAAUGAUGUUGCCAAUCUCAACAAGACGCUAUGAGCAAUUUCCUUUAGCACGAAACAAUGUUGAGCAAUUGUAGCCAUUUUCUGGAUUAGCCUUGAUUAUUUUAUUAUGUUUAGCUUUAUCAUUUGCUUUUCUAAAAACUACAUAUUUUGGUGACUAACACGACAAUUAAAUCGAGGAUGAUAAAUGGUGAGCAUGCGACACUUCGUCGACACUGCCGAGCUACACCCAGUUUCCCUCUCGGCUUCUCUGAUUAUCGAAUUUUGUCUGAGUGCGUGCGGACGCAGGAGCCGGAAGAGUUCUCGUUGAGGAGAAGCUUGUUGCGACCCAAAGAGAGAGGACACAUACAUGUGGACGCGAGACGACUAGAGCCAGAGGAGGACUGGGCACGCAGAAGAGCGAGGAGGACAACGAGUCCUCACACCUCACCGCCAGGACGUCGUAGAUAAUUUUGGUUUUCUUGUGAUUCUCUUUAUGAAGUGGGUGGUACCUCAAAAGACAUAGAUGAUCUGUUGACUUAUGGCAGUCGGGCAUUACAUUUUUUUGCAUGAAAUCGACAUCUGAGGAGUGAUAAUUUUGUUUUGAUCGCUUCUCUAUUGCAAGAUUUAGAUGGCUACUAUCCUUUGCGAUUGAUCAAGAAUGGUGAGCUAUUCUAAGGAAGCUUCUGAACAAUAUACCCGCUGUCCUAGAGUGUCAUAGAUCAGGGUUGAGAUGAUUCCAUCAUACUUAUACGAAGAUUUUCCUAGCAAGGAAUGGUUUGAACAAUGUUGUGAUUAGGCAAGGGAUAAUGGGUACUUGCUCUGUGAUGACUCAAAAAGAAUGAGAUUGAUCGUACGUACGGGGAGAGUUCCUCCAUAGACAAAGAUGAAAAAAAGACCUUGUAUUUGAUAGAAUGUGCUGAUCCAUUCCUCAAACCGAAUAGAAAUGUGAGGUCGGUUGUGAUUAAUCUUUUGAUCUUAGGUAAGGUCAAGGUUCUACUGGGCUGCUCGCUGUUGCAGGAUUGUGUAGCUGUUGUAGCUCCAAUUGAGAAAUAUUAUCAGUAUUAAGCUGCUUUGAUGGUUGCCCGGUC